rnacentral:rRNA from 1 species
UACGUAGGGUGCAAGCGUUGUCCGGAAUCAUUGGGCGUAAAGCGCGCGUAGGUGGUCAUGUAAGUCCGCUGUGAAAGUCAAAGGUUCAACCUUUGAAAGCCGGUGGAUACUGCAUGACUAGAGUACGGAAGAGGCGAGUGGAAUUCCUGGUGUAGCGGUGGAAUGCGCAGAUAUCAGGAGGAACACCAAUAGCGAAGGCAGCUCGCUGGGACGUUACUGACACUGAGGCGCGAAAGCGUGGGGAGCGAACAGG